rnacentral:SRP_RNA from 1 species
GGAGGCUGGCGGCGGGCGGAACCCUCGCCAACCCGGUCAGGUCCGGAAGGAAGCAGCCGCAACGAGUUUCGUUUCGGGUCGCCGUCCAGUCUCCACC